rnacentral:rRNA from 1 species
CUUGAACGCUGGCGGCAUGCUUUACACAUGCAAGUCGAACGGUAACAGGCCGCAAGGUGCUGACGAGUGGCGAACGGGUGAGUAAUGCAUCGGAACGUGCCCAGUCGUGGGGGAUAACGCAGCGAAAGCUGUGCUAAUACCGCAUACGAUCUAUGGAUGAAAGCGGGGGACCGUAAGGCCUCGCGCGAUUGGAGCGGCCGAUGUCAGAUUAGGUAGUUGGUGGGGUAAAGGCUCACCAAGCCAACGAUCUGUAGCUGGUCUGAGAGGACGACCAGCCAAACUGGAACUGAGACACGGCCCAGACUCCUACGGGAGGCGGCAGUGGGGAAUUUUGGACAAUGGGCGCAAGCCUGAUCCAGCAAUGCCGCGUGCAGGAAGAAGGCCUUCGGGUUGUAAACUGCUUUUGUACGGAACGAAAAGGUUUGGGUUAAUACCCUGGGCCGAUGACGGUACCGUAAGAAUAAGCACCGGCUAACUACGUGCCAGCAGCCGCCGUAAUAC